rnacentral:lncRNA from 1 species
CUAUAGUCCACUUCCUGUUGCCUUCUGAUGAAGAUGUAGCCAUUCCCAUGUCUGCCUGCAUGCCACCAUGCUCCCCACCAUGAUGAUAAUGGACUGAACCUCUGAAACUGAUGAUGCAGUGGUGCUGAUUCUGCUGAAACCUAGGAAGCACCUGGCCCACUCAGUAAUUCUCACAGGGUGCAGGACUUCUGUAGAGUGCAACUCGCAGCACGAGUGAACUUCACUUCCAGAAAGACAGGGCAGGAGGCAAGCGAGAACUCUGGGAUGAUCCAAGCGUAGUCCGCAAAGCCUAGGAUUUGCGCAAGCACCAUGAACUUGGGUAAAGCGAAAGGGCUAAAGGAUCAGUGGCGGGCUGGAGAAGCCGUUCGCCCGGGCCUCAGUUUCCAGAAAAGCAACCUCCGGUCCAGCCCGGGAGCGCCCGUGCUCGUGCGCACCAGGAGGGAGUAAACUGAGGCACAGCAAGCGGAGUCGCGCACACCGCCCUUCUUAGCGCCGGGCCACCCCGCCUCACACCGUACAAAGCUCGAGAGCGCGCCAUCGCGCGCGGCCCG